rnacentral:lncRNA from 1 species
AUGUCUCUGUGUUCGGAGCUUGGUUCUUGCUCUCAGCACCUGGCAGAGGGUGCAAGGCUCUGCCUGGGCCGUGGAGCAGUUGCUCGCGGCGUGCAGGAUCCCCCCCAGACCUGUGUGCACCUCAGCCCCUGCCAGGCUGGGGGCUGCGGUCAGCCUCAGCCUGCCUAUUACUGCUCCAUCCAAUUAAAUAUUGAUGGCAGUGUUUGGAGAAGCGCUCAGGCGUCACAGCAGACUCCAGAGAAAACAAAAAUCCAUCGUGCUCUCACCAUGUCUCCUCUCACAGAUAUCUUCUUCCCUGAUCCCCUACUGGGGAGGGGGGGGCUGAAGCGCUAUGAAGGGGCUGAGCACCACAUGCAGCAUGAAGCUGCUUUCCCCCUUUCUUCCUACCUUCAGAGGCAGCGGGGGGGUUGCUGUGCACCCUCCUCCCUGCCUUCUCUGCUGCCACAGCCCGGGCAAGGCUGGCUCUGUUGCUGUCUCCAGGCCGGUGUUCAGGACAAGAGCAGCAGCAGCCAGAUUCAGCCCAGCAUUCCCACUAUCCCAAUGAAAUGCCAGGGUUUUCCCCCGCAUCAGGGAAACUGGGGAAGAGAUUCAGAAGAAGGGGGUCCCAGCCCGGCCCCAUGCACUGAACAGCUGAAUCGUCCUGCUCUGACACCUCCCCACAGCACCCUGUCUACGGACACCCUGUUCCCUAAGCGCCACCUCCAUCCCGGUGGGCCUGUGCCCUCUGUUCCAUGGAAGCCACCGAGACGGCAGCACGGCCACCGGUGUCCCCUUCCAGGCUCCAUCAACCUCAGCCCAACCUGCCCCUGCUUUCCUCAGCCACGGGGAGGAGGUGUCCCCGGGGGAGACCUUAAAUACCUGCAAGGUGAGGGUCGGACCCCUGGCUGGAUCCAGUGUGUCCAGAGAAGGGACGGAAGACUGCGGCAGGGGAAGGCAGAGGUGUGGGGGGGCUUCACUGAGGUGGGAGGUGUUUGCUUCCCAUCCAGAGCUUGGAGGCCACCAUUUUCCAGAUGGGAAGCAGGGAGCAGGGGAUGCCUACACCGAGGUCGUGCUUGUCCUGGAGACCCGAGGAAGCUGGGCCACCCUCCACACACUUAA